UACACCCACAGCAAACACUCGACCAAACCUAAUUACAACUUCAUUUCUGUACCCUUCAUCUUCACCCCCAAAUGGCACAUACUUACAAGAACAAAACUGACCUUGCUACCAUUGGGAAAGAAGCGUUUGAUGUCAUAGAUUCUCGUGGGCGUCAGUACUCGAAGCAGCACGUGUCUCACUAUCAGUACCAACCCCAGCAGGCUUAUGUUGUUCGGGAACAAGUGUAUGCUGCCCCUUAUGUGGUUCAGCAACAAGUAUAUGCUGCCCCAGUGAGUAAGAGAGUGAUAACAUGUGACGAUGCUGCUAAGAUGUACGGUGGGACUUUGUUUGUGGAGUAUCCGAAAAGGAAGCCUGCUGGUAAAGGUUUCUUUUAUUUCUAGUUCUAGCUAGCUAGCUAUAUAUAUCCUAUAUGUAUAUACAUCUUGGAUCCAUCCCUUGCCAGUAAUUGGUUUUACGUGGAUGUGCCAAGAUUGUUAAAAUCAAUCACCUUAUGAUAUAUAAUAAUAUUACUGGUGGCUGUAUUAACAUGUUUGUGUCAUCUUUUUUCGUGCCAAGACCUCAGUGUCUUUGUUUCGAUUGUAUCACUUAUCGCAUAAGGCAGGAUGAAAUGAUUAUAUUAGACUUAGGAAAACCAAAACGAACGAAAGUCCCCAAAAACAGUUUAUAUGGGGACUUGGCUGGCUAAAUAAAAUCAACAUAGAAAAAAAGUUUUUUCUUCAUUGCAUAUAUAAAACAAUAACCCAUAACCCAAUUGUCUAGUGGUAUCGUGUUUGCCUUCACAAAAAUUGUAUAAGUUUAAAUUCUUGCACAUACAACAUUAUGUAGCUAGUAUUUAGGUAGAAAAAGUUGUUAAAAAUAUAUAAAGUAGUAAAUAAAUUAUGAAAUUUAAAUUUCAAUACUUGAAAGUACAUAUGAACUUAUUUUUUAUAGUCGAAAACUUACAACUAACAAAAAAAAUGUAUAUCACAACUUUAUAUUAGUGACUAAUUUAAUAAAUGUGACUAUAUAUAUAUAUAGGGGAGCGUUAAAAUGAAAACUAUUUUCAGUUGUAAGAACUAUAAGAACCACUCUCCACCAAUCAUAUUCUUCCAACAAAAAGGGUAGUUUAGUCAUUUACCCCAAAUGUCAAUCUCUACCUCUCUCCACAUUUAAAACCACAUGCUUUUUAAAAUUGUCAGAUUUAUUUAAAACCUUCGUUUGUCUCUCUCUCUCCUCAUUUGAAACUCACCCCUCACUCAAAUCUUCAUCCUCUCUCAAAGAACUCUUCAUCAUCUUCAUCAAAUUCCGGCGACAUCACCACCCCCGCCAUUCUGAAUCAAACCCCAACCCGCAAUACAAAACACAAAAUAUUCUUUAUAAAGGGUGAAGAAAUUAAAAUUAAGAAAUUGAGAAAGGUGUUGAAGAACAAGCACGCAUCUUGAACAUGACGACAUGCUCAUAGGUGGCCUGGCCAUGAUCUUUGAUCAAAACCCACCAUACCUACAAAUCCUUUUCAACACCCACCUAUCUUUUAACCUGAUACAUCAAUUUCUCUACAUCUUUUCAUAUAUUUUGUGAUAAAGUUGAUGUCUUUUGUUGAAUUUAGUUGACCCUUUUUGUUUGGGAUGGAGGGUAUGAUGAAAAAAGGUGUUAAUGUUGAAGAUGACGAUGUUGAUGGUGACGACGGCAGCCGGUCGACGCCGGAGCUGCACCGGCGAUGACUGCAGUAGAGGUUCGGGUUCACUUCAGAUUUUGUCAGGUUUUUGGCUUGGUUUCGGGUCUCGGUCAAAGCUGGUCAGCCGCGGUUCGGGUGUGGUUCGGGUCUCGGUCAAAGCUGGUCAGCCGCGGUUCGGGUGUGGUUUCGGGUCUCGGUCAAAGCUGGUCUCACUUCACCGACGGUCAACAGCAGUCAACCACGGUCAAAACCAGACCUGGUAACAAUUUAAACAAUGCGAAAAUCUUGUUUAUAUAGUUAUAGAUUUUUAGUUAUACGCGACGCGAGCUCGAACUGACUGGAUUAGAAAUUUGUUAUGUUUUGACAUUUCGACGAAAACUAUAUAUAUUGAUAAUUGUGAUUGGUU